GGAAGUGGAGGGUGCAGUGUGAGGAAGAGCGAGGGUUGUAGCAGGGAAAGUACUGGUCUGUGCUGCGUGUGGGAAGUGACUUUAGUGGCGGCGUGAAGGCGAGGACACGAGUGAGGUGCUGGCAGGCUGACUGAGAACGUCAUUGUACGACAGAGUAGCCAGCUAAACAGCCGAGCCCUCAGCGUGCGCCUCCCGCCGGACAAGGGACCCUACAUCCAACACUACCUCAUUGAGAUCCACAACGAAGGCUCCUCCUACUCACUCCAAGCUUCUGAAAACCGCUUCGACACCCUUCCUUCGCUCAUCACCUAUUAUUCUCAGUGCUGCGAAGAGUUGCUGGCUCAGCUCAAGCUUCCUCGCACCGUCCAGGAGGCCAAGACCCGCCAUGAACUCGGCUCUCUCUCGCUGCUCGGACAAGGUGGUGCAUCACAGCGUCAGACUCACAGAGGAUGUGUAGCCGAGGCAAUGACACGUGGACGGCGCUGAUGGCGGCCAGAACCUCUUGGGCGUCUUGGUCACACACGGCCAGGCUGAGCACCCCCAGGUCCCGCCACUCCUGCAGCAGCUGUGUGCCGGCACCACUUAAGUGACCCAUGAACCUCUCAAGGAAGAUGAGCUUCGCGCGACGGACGCAAACUUUCGGAGCGGCGGCCAUGGUGGAGGGCUUGGGACACAGUUCUUCUCGCCAGCAGCCUGCAAAGAAAUUUCCCAAAAACAGUUGGCCAAAAUAAUAAAGGCAGAAGUAAGACUAAGCUUUGAAGAAAGAACAUGUCAUAAAGUGUUACUGGAGGCACGAAAAUGUCAAAGAAGUGCAAAGACAAUUCAGAAGACACUUUGACAGGGAUCCACCAAGGUGACGCGCCAUUGCUCGCAUCACAGCUAAAUUUGCAUCAACAACCACCACCACCACCACCAGCAUGGCAGUGAGUAGCAGGAGUAGUGAAUGGUCACACGUUUGUGGUGACUUCUUGGACUAUCAGGCUGCCCUUGUAGUGUGUUGGACUAUCGGUGAACAAGGAGACCUGAAAGUUACGUGGUACAACUAUUUCGGUGAUAGAAGUGGCUGAGUUGCCGAUCCAAAGGCCUGGCUUAAGAGUGAUCCCGAGCUACCUGUACCAUCAAGAUCAAGAUCGAGCUUCCAUAUCAGAUGGUGAGUCUGCUUACAAAAUUGCAUCGCGGGGAUUGAUAGAGACAGCCACAAUUAUCCAUCAUCAUCGGCGACACCAUGGCUCUUGAGAAGACAGACAGACCUCGAUGACAGCGUGGUGAGCGAGGAGUGGGAGUCAACCAGCAGAGUAGGGGAGCAUGACCCCUACUUUGAACCAGUGGUGACCUUGCUGGAGGUCUUCGUGGUUAGUGAUGAUGACCAGGAGGAGGAAAUGAUAAGACUGAGUUUCGAGGUCAGGUCAGGCAGUACAAGCUGUUUCUUUAUCACACUUCUGAGUCACCCCCACAGUGGAAGGAACGGGGCAUGGAGGCCAUUAACAUUCUGAGGAACAAGCAGAAGAAGGCUGUGGAGUUUGUUCAGCGGCAGAAUUAAUGCCAGUGGCUGAGUUCAGAUCCUCCAAGACACACGGACACACAUACAGCAGCCCCUCCACCUCCCCACAGCCCUCCACAGCCCCUGACACAGCAUCUAACACAGCCCCUUCACAGAACACCACAUACCUCACACAUACAUAAGAACAUAAGAACAUAAGAAAUAAGGGAAGCUGCAAGAAGCGACCAAGCUUACAUGUGGCAGUCCCUGUAUGAAAUAUACCUACCUAUUUUCCAUCUGUUAUCCCCAUCCAUAAACUUGUCUAAUCUUCUCUUAAAGCUCUCUAGUGUCCUAGCACUAACAACAUGAUUACUGAGUCUGUUCCACUCAUCUACCACUCUUUUUGAGAACAAAUUUUUUCCUAUCUCCAUCCUAAACCCAAAUUUUUCAAGCUUGUACCCAUUAUUUCUUGUUCUACCCUGGUUGCUGAUCCUAAGAAUUUUGUCUACAUCCCCCUUGUUAUAACCCUUAUACCACUCAAAGACUUCUAUCAGGUCCCCUCUUAACCUACGUAUCUCUUAAGAAUGUAAAUUUAACAGCUUCAACCUCGCCUCGUAAGGAAUACUCCUCAUCCCCUGUAUCCUUUUAGUCAUUCUCCUCUGUACUGAUUCUAAUAGACCUAUAUCUUUCCUGUAAUGUGGGGACCAGAACUGCACCGCGUAGUCUAGAUGAGGUCUGACCAGCGCCAAGUAUAACUUUAAUACUACUUCCGGCCUUCUACUUUUAACACUCCUAAAAAUCACACACACCACAGGAGCCUCACAAACAGUCUCACAGCCUUCACAAGCAGCCCCACACUCCACCACAGACACACCAGACCCACAGCCCUUCACCUCACCCACUUCCCAGCCCCCCACAGCCCCCCAGCCACCACAAAUGAAGUGAAAGGAAGGGACUGUGGCUUCACCCAGCCAGCCAGGACAGCCUACAGAGAGGGGGUAGUCCCAGUCAAGUCACAAAAUAUAGGCUUGGUUCUUCCUACAGUUUGAAGUCAAUGAUUGGACAGGCCAGACAGCUUAGUGCCAGAGCUGCAGGUGGCCCUUGUCAGCUUCCUGGUGGUACAGGUGUAGGACGGCUGGGAGCAGUGGAGGUGCCUGGUGGAGCAGCUGUGCCGGGCAGAGGGGCUGCUGCUGCUGCUGCUGCUGCUGCUGCUGCUGCUGCUGGAGAGAGCCACACUUGUAUGCCCCACAGUUACUGACCUUGACUCAAACACCAUCACGGCACUCUCUUCCCUGUUAAACUUGCCGGGAUCCAUUGUAAUGUAAGGGGUAUUGAAUGUGAGCGAUGAAACGAGAAGGUAGUGGCAAGGGGGAAAAAAGUACAGGGGAGCGCAGGAGAGACACCUCUCUCCACUGUGCCUGACAGUCUCUCAGUGAUUGAAAGACUGAGCAUAACAUCUUCAGGGCACGUGGUAACACAGAGAGGAAGUGGAAGGAAGCUUGGGAUGCUCCCAUAACUCAGGAGCAAGAAAUACACCUUACUGGAAACCUUGUGACUGACAGGUGGCGGUGACUGCAGGAACCAAUUCAGAUGUCUGUCUUGUGUUGGCGAACGUCCUGUCUGCAGUCAGGCCAGUAGUGCCAUGUCACAGGGUGUGACAUCAGGUGAAGAGCCAAAUGGAGUGUGUCUGCAGCCAGUACUGGGUGUGCUGAUGGUGUACAAGUGUCGAGCCAGGUGCCACAGCACAUGUCAGCUGACUCCACCAGGGUAGUGUCUCUAGUCCAGGAUGCACUGCUGUGUACGACUUGUAUGUCUUUGCUAAUAAAUAAAUAUUUGUGACUAUUCUUAUUAUAUAUAUGUGAAAUAAAUAUAUAGUUAGCUAACAGUGUGGUAUAAUAGUGUAAAAAUAAAUAUUUGAUAAUUCAUGCAUGCCCCAAAGGUAAAAAAAAAACAGGAUUGUGCCCUCUAAACUUUUAAGAUACCACUUGCACAUAGAAGCCCCGUCGCAGCGACUCCAGUGUCGGCUGGGAUGGGGCUUCUAUGUGCAAAUGGUAUCUUAAACUUAGUUUAGUAGCCAAUCCUGACUUUUUUUUUUUUUUUACCUUGGGGGCAUGACCUGUACUCCCAGAAAGACUUUGCCAAAGAUAUUAUUGACAUGGCAUAAAUAACUAUCAGUUUUUUUUUUUACCUUGGGGGCAUGACCUGUACUCCCAGAAAGACUAUUUGCCAAAGAUAUUAUUGACAUGGCAUAAAUAACUAUCAUUAUGUUCAAGAUGGUAUACUGAAUGUUUAUUGUUUUAAUGUGAAUGUUAAGUGAAUAAAUACACAACAAUAAUAUAAA